UCGGAGGAUAACGUCCAGCUGGAGGAAGAAGGUCGGGUCCUCUAUCAUUUUGAUAACUUUGCUGCCAACGACCGCGGCCAAACCCCCAUCAACCCUGGUUAAUUGCAUUGCGGGUGGCAGGAUUGGGAUUCAGUUGGCGAGAUUGGCAUCGAAAAGAUAUCAGAUGGUAAGAGAAAAGAAGAAAUCUCGAACCAUCAGAAGCGUUGGAAUUCUUGGAGAUAGGGGCGGUGACGGAGGCGCAGCGGUAGUCCUUGCCGGCGGCUAAGAGGGAAGAGGAAGAUGAGCGGUCUUUGCCGUUGAUGCCGGCGGCUCUGGAUGUGGACGGCGAGAAUCGUUCGAGCAGUUCAUCGAGGACGUCGUUGAUUCGCUUCUGAUCACCGGAAGUUACCUCCGAUUUAGAUCCCACUCCUCGCUCUCUGUACAUAACGAACGCCUGUGCUGUCCUCCUCAAGCAAGGUUGUGCCAAAAAGAAGACGAAGUUAGGAGCUAAUAAGGAUGAUUAGAGGGAGCUCAUGAGACGUUCCAGCCUUGGAAUAAGAUAUGAUUGUUCAAAUAUUCUGACAGUAUAACCUUUUCAAUUCUCAACACAACCCUUCAAAUUCUUUACUUGUAGAGUCUCAUGCAAUCCAGGUUAGCAAAAGUUUCUUCCCUUACGACA